rnacentral:piRNA from 1 species
UGGCACUUUGUUUUUGUCUUCAGUUUUUGU